AACUGGUCGAUCCUGCCAGUAACAUAUGCUUGUCUCAAAGACUAAGCCAUGCAUGUCUAAGUAUAAAUAGUGCAUUUUGUACUGUGAAACUGCGAAUGGCUCAUUAAAUCAGUUAUGGUCUCUUUGAUAAUUUUACAACAAUCUUUCAUUGAGUGUUGUGCUAUAUGGAUAGCCGUGGCAAUUCUAGAGCUAAUACAUGCGACAAGGCCUGAGGCGUGCUUUUCUCUUCUUUUUUGGGGGGAAGCUGUGCGUGCUAGGGCUGCAUUUAUUAGGUUCCAAGCCAGCAAGCGAUUGUCUUGUGGUGAAUCAGAAUAACUUUGCGGACCUUUGCAGGUUUUUCUGCGAAGGUGGAUCAUUCGAAUUUCUGCCCUAUCAACUUUCGAUGGUAAGGUAUUGGCUUACCAUGGUGACCACGGGUGACGGGGAACAUUUGGUUCGAUUCCGGAGAGGGAGCCUGAGAAAUGGCUACCACUUCCAAGGAAGGCAGCAGGCGCGCAAAUUACCCAAUCCUGACACAGGGAGGUAGUGACAAUAAAUACCAAUGCACUGCUUUUUUAUAAGCGGUGCAAUUGGAAUGAGAACAAUGCAAAGACCUUAUCGAGAACCCAUUGGAGGGCAAGUCUGGUGCCAGCAGCCGCGGUAAUUCCAGCUCCAAUAGCGUAUAUUAAAGUUGUUGCAGUUAAAAAGCUCGUAGUUGGAUUUCUUGUGGGGCGGGGCGUGUUUUUUUUUGGGUGCGUGCGGGUGUAUUUUGGGGGUGGGUUGGCUCUUGAUUGGGCUGCCUUCCCCUUUGUGUGCCUGUGCGUGCCUGUGGCGCGCUUUGCUCUGCGAUUCUUUUUCCCCGAUGCGGCCGUGCGCAUUUCUUUGUGCUGCGGUUUGAGUGUUGGGGGCUUUACUUUGAAAAAAUUAGAGUGUUCAAAGCAGGCGGUAUUUUUACUUGCUUGAAUAGAUUAGCAUGGAACAACGGAAAAGGACUUUUGGGCCUGUAUCUUGUUGGCCGGUGUGUGUGGUGCAGUGGGCCAUUCAUUGUGCCUUGUGUGCUGCGCGCGCCGCAGGUCUGAAGUAAUGAUUAACAGGGACGGUUGGGGGCACUGGUAUUUCACAGUCAGAGGUGAAAUUCUUGGAUUUGUGAAAGACUAUCGACUGCGAAAGCAUUUGCCAAGGACGUUUUCGUUGAUCAAGAACGAAAGUUAGGGGAUCGAAGACGAUUAGACACCGUCGUAGUCCUAGACCAUAAACGAUGCCGACUAGCGCUCGGUGGACAGCACGAAAUUUAUUUUGAGUGGCGCCAUCGGGAGCUUGAGGGAAACCAAAGUAUUUGGGCUCCGGGGGUAGUAUAGUCGCAAGGCUGAAACUUAAAGGAAUUGACGGAAGGGCACCACCAGGAGUGGAGCCUGCGGCUCAAUUUGACUCAACACGGGGAAACUCACCAGGUCCAGACAUGGGAAGGAUUGACAGAUUGACAGCUCUUUCUUGAUUCCAAGGGUAGUGGUGCAAGGCCGUUCUUAGCUCGUGGGGUGACUUGUCUGGUUGAUUCCGAUAACGAGCGAGACCUUAACCUGCUAACUGAUGCGUGCUUGUGUGAGCAAGCAUUGGGGCCCAAUUUUUUUUAAUUGGGUUCCCGUGCAUCUCUUAGAGGGACACUCGGCGUUGCUAUUUGAAAGCGUUAGCCGAAGGAAGUGUGAGGCAAUAACAGGUCUGUGAUGCCCUUAGAUGUUCUGGGCUGCACGCGCGCUACACUGACGGGGGCAGCGAGUUUUUUAUACUUGCGGGUGCUGUGUAUGGG
rnacentral:rRNA from 1 species